CUGACACAGGUGGCUGCAUGGCUGUCGUCAGCUCGUGUCGUGAGAUGUUGGGUUAAGUCCCGUAACGAGCGCAACCCUGUCCUUAGUUACCAGCACGUUAUGGUGGGCACUCUAAGGAGACUGCCGGUGACAAACCGGAGGAAGGUGGGGGAUGACGUCAAGUCAUCAUGGCCCUUACGGCCUGGGCUACACACGUGCUACAAUGGUCGGUACAAAGGGUUGCCAAGCCGCGAGGUGGAGCUAAUCCCAUAAAACCGAUCGUAGUCCGGAUCGCAGUCUGCAACUCGACUGCGUGAAGUCGGAAUCGCUAGUAAUCGUGAAUCAGAAUGUCACGGUGAAUACGUUCCCGGGCCUU
rnacentral:rRNA from 1 species